GAGAUGUUAGUAAAAAUUUACAUAACCUUGUCAAGAUUAAGUUACAGGUGAAAGUCCUGUACAUCUCA
rnacentral:tRNA from 1 species